AACACUGUUAACCUGCGGUACCUGCGGAAGGAUCAUUACCGAGUUUACAACUCCCAAACCCCUGUGAACAUACCAAUUGUUGCCUCGGCGGAUCAGCCCGCUCCCGGUAAAACGGGACGGCCCGCCAGAGGACCCCUAAACUCUGUUUCUAUAUGUAACUUCUGAGUAAAACCAUAAAUAAAUCAAAACUUUUAGCAAUGGAUCU
rnacentral:misc_RNA from 1 species